GUGAGGAAUAUUGGUCAAUGGGCGGGAGCCUGAACCAGCCAAGUCGCGUGAAGGAAGAAGGAUCUAUGGUUCGUAAACUUCUUUUGCAGGGGAAUAAAGUGCAGGACGUGUCCUGUUUUGUAUGUACCCUGAGAAUAAGGAUCGGCUAACUCCGUGCCAGCAGCCGCGGUAAUACGGAGGAUCCGAGCGUUAUCCGGAUUUAUUGGGUUUAAAGGGUGCGUAGGAGGUUUGAUAAGUCAGCGGUGAAAGUUUGCAGCUUAACUGUAAAAAUGCCGUUGAAACUGUCGGACUUGAGUGUAAAUGAGGUAGGCGUAAUGCGUGGUGUAGCGGUGAAAUGCAUAGAUAUCACGCAGAACUCCGAUUGCGAAGGCAGCUUACUAAGCUACAACUGACACUGAAGCACGAAAGCGUGGGGAUCAAACAGGAUUAGAUACCCCGGUAGUCC
rnacentral:rRNA from 1 species